GGUUAAGCGACUAAGCGUACACGGUGGAUGCCCUGGCAGUCAGAGGCGAUGAAGGACGUGCUAAUCUGCGAUAAGCGUCGGUGAGGUGAUAUGAACCGUUAUAACCGGCGAUUUCCGAAUGGGGAAACCCAGUGUGUUUCGACACACUAUCAUUAACUGAAUCCAUAGGUUAAUGAGGCGAACCGGGGGAACUGAAACAUCUAAGUACCCCGAGGAAAAGAAAUCAACCGAGAUUCCCCCAGUAGCGGCGAGCGAACGGGGAGGAGCCCAGAGCCUGAAUCAGUGUGUGUGUUAGUGGAAGCGUCUGGAAAGGCGCGCGAUACAGGGUGACAGCCCCGUACACAAAAAUGCACAUAUUGUGAGCUCGAUGAGUAGGGCGGGACACGUGGUAUCCUGUCUGAAUAUGGGGGGACCAUCCUCCAAGGCUAAAUACUCCUGACUGACCGAUAGUGAACCAGUACCGUGAGGGAAAGGCGAAAAGAACCCCGGCGAGGGGAGUGAAAAAGAACCUGAAACCGUGUACGUACAAGCAGUGGGAGCCUCUUAAUGGGGUGACUGCGUACCUUUUGUAUAAUGGGUCAGCGACUUAUAUUCUGUAGCAAGGUUAACCGAAUAGGGGAGCCGAAGGGAAACCGAGUCUUAACUGGGCGUUAAGUUGCAGGGUAUAGACCCGAAACCCGGUGAUCUAGCCAUGGGCAGGUUGAAGGUUGGGUAACACUAACUGGAGGACCGAACCGACUAAUGUUGAAAAAUUAGCGGAUGACUUGUGGCUGGGGGUGAAAGGCCAAUCAAACCGGGAGAUAGCUGGUUCUCCCCGAAAGCUAUUUAGGUAGCGCCUCGUGAAUUCAUCUCCGGGGGUAGAGCACUGUUUCGGCAAGGGGGUCAUCCCGACUUACCAACCCGAUGCAAACUGCGAAUACCGGAGAAUGUUAUCACGGGAGACACACGGCGGGUGCUAACGUCCGUCGUGAAGAGGGAAACAACCCAGACCGCCAGCUAAGGUCCCAAAGUCAUGGUUAAGUGGGAAACGAUGUGGGAAGGCCCAGACAGCCAGGAUGUUGGCUUAGAAGCAGCCAUCAUUUAAAGAAAGCGUAAUAGCUCACUGGUCGAGUCGGCCUGCGCGGAAGAUGUAACGGGGCUAAACCAUGCACCGAAGCUGCGGCAGCGACGCUUAUGCGUUGUUGGGUAGGGGAGCGUUCUGUAAGCCUGUGAAGGUGGCCUGUGAGGGUUGCUGGAGGUAUCAGAAGUGCGAAUGCUGACAUAAGUAACGAUAAAGCGGGUGAAAAGCCCGCUCGCCGGAAGACCAAGGGUUCCUGUCCAACGUUAAUCGGGGCAGGGUGAGUCGACCCCUAAGGCGAGGCCGAAAGGCGUAGUCGAUGGGAAACAGGUUAAUAUUCCUGUACUUGGUGUUACUGCGAAGGGGGGACGGAGAAGGCUAUGUUGGCCGGGCGACGGUUGUCCCGGUUUAAGCGUGUAGGCUGGUUUUCCAGGCAAAUCCGGAAAACCAAGGCUGAGGCGUGAUGACGAGGCACUACGGUGCUGAAGCAACAAAUGCCCUGCUUCCAGGAAAAGCCUCUAAGCAUCAGGUAACAUCAAAUCGUACCCCAAACCGACACAGGUGGUCAGGUAGAGAAUACCAAGGCGCUUGAGAGAACUCGGGUGAAGGAACUAGGCAAAAUGGUGCCGUAACUUCGGGAGAAGGCACGCUGAUAUGUAGGUGAAGCGACUUGCUCGUGGAGCUGAAAUCAGUCGAAGAUACCAGCUGGCUGCAACUGUUUAUUAAAAACACAGCACUGUGCAAACACGAAAGUGGACGUAUACGGUGUGACGCCUGCCCGGUGCCGGAAGGUUAAUUGAUGGGGUUAGCGGCAACGCGAAGCUCUUGAUCGAAGCCCCGGUAAACGGCGGCCGUAACUAUAACGGUCCUAAGGUAGCGAAAUUCCUUGUCGGGUAAGUUCCGACCUGCACGAAUGGCGUAAUGAUGGCCAGGCUGUCUCCACCCGAGACUCAGUGAAAUUGAACUCGCUGUGAAGAUGCAGUGUACCCGCGGCAAGACGGAAAGACCCCGUGAACCUUUACUAUAGCUUGACACUGAACAUUGAGCCUUGAUGUGUAGGAUAGGUGGGAGGCUUUGAAGUGUGGACGCCAGUCUGCAUGGAGCCGACCUUGAAAUACCACCCUUUAAUGUUUGAUGUUCUAACGUUGGCCCGUAAUCCGGGUUGCGGACAGUGUCUGGUGGGUAGUUUGACUGGGGCGGUCUCCUCCUAAAGAGUAACGGAGGAGCACGAAGGUUGGCUAAUCCUGGUCGGACAUCAGGAGGUUAGUGCAAUGGCAUAAGCCAGCUUGACUGCGAGCGUGACGGCGCGAGCAGGUGCGAAAGCAGGUCAUAGUGAUCCGGUGGUUCUGAAUGGAAGGGCCAUCGCUCAACGGAUAAAAGGUACUCCGGGGAUAACAGGCUGAUACCGCCCAAGAGUUCAUAUCGACGGCGGUGUUUGGCACCUCGAUGUCGGCUCAUCACAUCCUGGGGCUGAAGUAGGUCCCAAGGGUAUGGCUGUUCGCCAUUUAAAGUGGUACGCGAGCUGGGUUUAGAACGUCGUGAGACAGUUCGGUCCCUAUCUGCCGUGGGCGCUGGAGAACUGAGGGGGGCUGCUCCUAGUACGAGAGGACCGGAGUGGACGCAUCACUGGUGUUCGGGUUGUCAUGCCAAUGGCACUGCCCGGUAGCUAAAUGCGGAAGAGAUAAGUGCUGAAAGCAUCUAAGCACGAAACUUGCCCCGAGAUGAGUUCUCCCUGAGACUUAGAGUCUCCUGAAGGAACGUUGAAGACGACGACGUUGAUAGGCCGGGUGUGUAAGCGCAGCGAUGCGUUGAGCUAACCGGUACUAAUGAACCGUGAGGCUUAACCUU
rnacentral:rRNA from 1 species